GAUGAACGCUGGCGGCGUGCCUAAUACAUGCAAGUCGAGCGAACGGACGAGAAGCUUGCUUCUCUGAUGUUAGCGGCGGACGGGUGAGUAACACGUGGAUAACCUACCUAUAAGACUGGGAUAACUUCGGGAAACCGGAGCUAAUACCGGAUAAUAUUUUGAACCGCAUGGUUCAAAAGUGAAAGACGGUCUUGCUGUCACUUAUAGAUGGAUCCGCGCUGCAUUAGCUAGUUGGUAAGGUAACGGCUUACCAAGGCAACGAUGCAUAGCCGACCUGAGAGGGUGAUCGGCCACACUGGAACUGAGGCACGGUCCAGACUCCUACGGGAGGCAGCAGUAGGGAAUAUUCCGCAAUGGGCGAAAGCCUGACGGAGCAACGCCGCGUGAGUGAUGAAGGUCUUCGGAUCGUAAAACUCUGUUAUUAGGGAAGAACAUAUGUGUAAGUAACUGUGCACAUCUUGACGGUACCUAAUCAGAAAGCCACGGCUAACUACGUG
rnacentral:rRNA from 1 species